rnacentral:piRNA from 1 species
UCAGAUUUGAUCACGACUGCCUGAGGU